rnacentral:rRNA from 1 species
GGGUUGUGAGGUUAAGCGACUAAGCGUACACGGUGGAUGCCCUGGCAGUCAGAGGCGAUGAAGGACGUGCUAAUCUGCGAUAAGCGUCGGUAAGGUGAUAUGAACCGUUAUAACCGGCGAUUUCCGAAUGGGGAAACCCAGUGUGAUUCGUCACACUAUCAUUAACUGAAUCCAUAGGUUAAUGAGGCGAACCGGGGGAACUGAAACAUCUAAGUACCCCGAGGAAAAGAAAUCAACCGAGAUUCCCCCAGUAGCGGCGAGCGAACGGGGAGGAGCCCAGAGCCUGAAUCAGUGUGUGUGUUAGUGGAAGCGUCUGGAAAGGCGCGCGAUACAGGGUGACAGCCCCGUACACAAAAAUACACAUAUUGUGAGCUCGAUGAGUAGGGCGGGACACGUGGUAUCCUGUCUGAAUAUGGGGGGACCAUCCUCCAAGGCUAAAUACUCCUGACUGACCGAUAGUGAACCAGUACCGUGAGGGAAAGGCGAAAAGAACCCCGGCGAGGGGAGUGAAAAAGAACCUGAAACCGUGUACGUACAAGCAGUGGGAGCACGCUUAGGCGUGUGACUGCGUACCUUUUGUAUAAUGGGUCAGCGACUUAUAUUCUGUAGCAAGGUUAACCGAAUAGGGGAGCCGAAGGGAAACCGAGUCUUAACUGGGCGUUAAGUUGCAGGGUAUAGACCCGAAACCCGGUGAUCUAGCCAUGGGCAGGUUGAAGGUUGGGUAACACUAACUGGAGGACCGAACCGACUAAUGUUGAAAAAUUAGCGGAUGACUUGUGGCUGGGGGUGAAAGGCCAAUCAAACCGGGAGAUAGCUGGUUCUCCCCGAAAGCUAUUUAGGUAGCGCCUCGUGAAUUCAUCUCCGGGGGUAGAGCACUGUUUCGGCAAGGGGGUCAUCCCGACUUACCAACCCGAUGCAAACUGCGAAUACCGGAGAAUGUUAUCACGGGAGACACACGGCGGGUGCUAACGUCCGUCGUGAAGAGGGAAACAACCCAGACCGCCAGCUAAGGUCCCAAAGUCAUGGUUAAGUGGGAAACGAUGUGGGAAGGCCCAGACAGCCAGGAUGUUGGCUUAGAAGCAGCCAUCAUUUAAAGAAAGCGUAAUAGCUCACUGGUCGAGUCGGCCUGCGCGGAAGAUGUAACGGGGCUAAACCAUGCACCGAAGCUGCGGCAGCGACGCUUAUGCGUUGUUGGGUAGGGGAGCGUUCUGUAAGCCUGUGAAGGUGUGCUGUGAGGCAUGCUGGAGGUAUCAGAAGUGCGAAUGCUGACAUAAGUAACGAUAAAGCGGGUGAAAAGCCCGCUCGCCGGAAGACCAAGGGUUCCUGUCCAACGUUAAUCGGGGCAGGGUGAGUCGACCCCUAAGGCGAGGCCGAAAGGCGUAGUCGAUGGGAAACAGGUUAAUAUUCCUGUACUUGGUGUUACUGCGAAGGGGGGACGGAGAAGGCUAUGUUGGCCGGGCGACGGUUGUCCCGGUUUAAGCGUGUAGGCUGGUUUUCCAGGCAAAUCCGGAAAAUCAAGGCUGAGGCGUGAUGACGAGGCACUACGGUGCUGAAGCAACAAAUGCCCUGCUUCCAGGAAAAGCCUCUAAGCAUCAGGUAACAUCAAAUCGUACCCCAAACCGACACAGGUGGUCAGGUAGAGAAUACCAAGGCGCUUGAGAGAACUCGGGUGAAGGAACUAGGCAAAAUGGUGCCGUAACUUCGGGAGAAGGCACGCUGAUAUGUAGGUGAAGUCCCUCGCGGAUGGAGCUGAAAUCAGUCGAAGAUACCAGCUGGCUGCAACUGUUUAUUAAAAACACAGCACUGUGCAAACACGAAAGUGGACGUAUACGGUGUGACGCCUGCCCGGUGCCGGAAGGUUAAUUGAUGGGGUCAGCGCAAGCGAAGCUCUUGAUCGAAGCCCCGGUAAACGGCGGCCGUAACUAUAACGGUCCUAAGGUAGCGAAAUUCCUUGUCGGGUAAGUUCCGACCUGCACGAAUGGCGUAAUGAUGGCCAGGCUGUCUCCACCCGAGACUCAGUGAAAUUGAACUCGCUGUGAAGAUGCAGUGUACCCGCGGCAAGACGGAAAGACCCCGUGAACCUUUACUAUAGCUUGACACUGAACAUUGAGCCUUGAUGUGUAGGAUAGGUGGGAGGCUUGGAAGUGUGGACGCCAGUCUGCAUGGAGCCGACCUUGAAAUACCACCCUUUAAUGUUUGAUGUUCUAACGUUGACCCGUAAUCCGGGUUGCGGACAGUGUCUGGUGGGUAGUUUGACUGGGGCGGUCUCCUCCUAAAGAGUAACGGAGGAGCACGAAGGUUGGCUAAUCCUGGUCGGACAUCAGGAGGUUAGUGCAAUGGCAUAAGCCAGCUUGACUGCGAGCGUGACGGCGCGAGCAGGUGCGAAAGCAGGUCAUAGUGAUCCGGUGGUUCUGAAUGGAAGGGCCAUCGCUCAACGGAUAAAAGGUACUCCGGGGAUAACAGGCUGAUACCGCCCAAGAGUUCAUAUCGACGGCGGUGUUUGGCACCUCGAUGUCGGCUCAUCACAUCCUGGGGCUGAAGUAGGUCCCAAGGGUAUGGCUGUUCGCCAUUUAAAGUGGUACGCGAGCUGGGUUUAGAACGUCGUGAGACAGUUCGGUCCCUAUCUGCCGUGGGCGCUGGAGAACUGAGGGGGGCUGCUCCUAGUACGAGAGGACCGGAGUGGACGCAUCACUGGUGUUCGGGUUGUCAUGCCAAUGGCACUGCCCGGUAGCUAAAUGCGGAAGAGAUAAGUGCUGAAAGCAUCUAAGCACGAAACUUGCCCCGAGAUGAGUUCUCCCUGACUCCUUGAGAGUCCUGAAGGAACGUUGAAGACGACGACGUUGAUAGGCCGGGUGUGUAAGCGCAGCGAUGCGUUGAGCUAACCGGUACUAAUGAACCGUGAGGCUUAACCUUACAACGCCGAAG